UACGUAUGGUGCAAGCGUUAUCCGGAUUUACUGGGUGUAAAGGGAGCGCAGGCGGCACGGCAAGCCUGAUGUGAAAGCCCGCGGCCCAACCGCGGGACUGCAUUGGGAACUACCGGGCUGGAGUGCCGGAGAGGUAGGCGGAAUUCCUAGUGUAGCGGUGAAAUGCGUAGAUAUUAGGAGGAACACCAGCGGCGAAGGCGGCCUACUGGACGGUGACUGACGCUGAGGCUCGAAAGCGUGGGGAGCAAACAGG
rnacentral:rRNA from 1 species